rnacentral:tRNA from 1 species
ACCGAGGUGGUGGAAUUGGUAGACACGCUACUUUGAGGUGGUAGUGCCUGUUUUGGUUUGCGGGUUCAAAUCCCGUCCUCGGUACCA